rnacentral:rRNA from 1 species
CCUACGGGAGGCAGCAGUAGGGAAUAUUGCGCAAUGGGCGAAAGCCUGACGCAGCGACGCCGCGUGUGGGAUGAAGGUCUUCGGAUCGUAAACCACUGUCGGGAGGGACGAAGCUCUGACGGUACCUCCAAAGGAAGCACCGGCUAACUCUGUGCCAGCAGCCGCGGUAAU